GUGCUAGACGGGGAGGUAGCGGUGCCCUGUUACCUGCAAUCCGCUAUAGCAGGGUCGAAUUCCUAUAAUAGGCAUGCUUCUGUAAGGUCUGCCCUUUGCAAGUGGCGAUGAAAAUUGGGUCCUACGCAACGGAAGCCUAUGAACCCCGUCAGGUUCGGAAGAAAGCAGCGGUAAG
rnacentral:SRP_RNA from 2 species